GAUGAAGAACGUAGCGAAAUGCGAUAAGUAAUGUGAAUUGCAGAAUUCAGUGAAUCAUCGAGUCUUUGAACGCACAUUGCGCCCGCCAGUAUUCUGGCGGGCAUGCCUGUUCGAGCGUCAUUUCAACCCUCAAGUCCCCUGUGGACUCGGUGUUGGGGACCGGCGAGACAGCCGCGGAUCUUCUUCCGCAGCGAGUCGCCGCCCCCCAAAUGACUUGGCGGCCUCGUCGCGGCCCUCCUCUGCGUAGUAUAGCACACCUCGCAACAGGAGCCCGGCGAAUGGCCACUGCCGUAAAACCCCCCAACUUUUUCAGAGUUGACCUCGAAUCAGGUAGGAAUACCCGCUGAACUUAAGCAUAUCAAUAAGCGGAGGA
rnacentral:misc_RNA from 1 species